GACCUGGUGGUGAAUGGUUCACACCCAAUCUGCUUACAUCAUCCUCCAAAGAAUGGAAAGUAGGAGCCCCGGUUUGAUUCCGGGCCAGGUCA